rnacentral:lncRNA from 1 species
AGAAAUUUUAUUUUGGCCAGGAGCUGAAGUUGGUUGUUUAGUAGUAGUAGUUUGAGUAGUGACCGAAGUAGUAGUCUGGUGUGUGGGUGCAGCUGAAGUUUCAGAAGUGUCAGGUGCAAGAGUAGUUGGGGAAGAAUUAGGUGUGGGUGGGGCAGCUGUGGUCUCUGGUGGAGCUGAGGCGGAUGAUGGGUCUAGGGUAGUUGCAGAAGGUGUGGGUGGGGCAGCUGUGGUCUCUGGUGGAGCUGAGGAAGAUGGUGGAGCUUGUGUAGUUGCAGAAGGUGUGGGUGGGGCAGCUGUGGUGUCUUGUGGAGCUGGGGAAUUCACUGGUGCUAAUGUAGCUACAGAAGAGCUUGUGUUAACAUUUUCUCUUGAAGAUAUGGUGGUGGCAUUCUGGGGAAGAAAAGUCACAUUUGGAAGGGUAGUAAUUUUGGUGGAAGCUUAGGCCUACAGCGUUUGUGCAGACAUUUAUAGGACUUUCUAAUGAACGGCUUCUGGUGAGCUAGCA